UAGGCGCUAAAUUCGGAGGACCAGAGACGAUGCACCGCGGCCUCCUGCCGCCAGGUUGGCGCUAAAGUCGGAGGACCAGAGACGAUGCACCGCCGCCUCCUGCCGCCAGGUAGGCGCUAAAGUCGGAGGACCAGCGGACGCCUAGAGGUCCUUCACCCUCACUCACUGACGUCUCCCCCUCCCCGCAGGACUCGGGCUCCGGCCGCAGAAUCGCCCUCGCGUUGGGAGGAGGGGGUGGGUGAUGGACGCGGGCCCGAGCGGCGGCUGUUCCCAUCCGAGCACGGGCGCAGAGCGGCCCAUGUGACACCCGCGGACCAAAGAUCCUAUUGCGGAGUUUCUCCAGAUUUUUGUGUACCUUCGAUUUUCCAGCAACUGCAGUUCCUUCUUAAACACGUCCUCUAGCGGAGUUCUGCUAUAGGAUCUUUGAUCUGCACUUCCUUCUUAAAUAACAUCCUCUAGCGCAAAGAUCAUAUAGCAACCAAAGAUCCUAUAGCAGAGCAAGAUAGGCUACUCCUGCUAAAUGCAAUGGACUGACGUGUAGUACGCUAUGGAGGGGAUCAUGGGCAUUUUUCCACUCCCAUUUUAGCAACCUGAGCCUACCUAACCCGACCCGACUCGCACUGUAAUCAAUGUUGCGGGGCAACAGUUUGUGUGGGUCAGAUUCAUAAAUCUGUCAGUUCAAACUUCUUGUCAAGAAUAAAAUUGGCAUA